ACUCCCCAUUCCUCAAUCCAGCCACUACCCAGUGCCCACUGCGCCGCCGCCGGCUCCUGCUCGGCUGCUCCUGCAGGCUGCAGGCUCCCCGUCCCCGCGCGCGGCGCCCUCGCCCUCCAGGGCUCCAGGCCUCGAACCCGCCUGACGCCGGACGCCCCAUCCCCAUCCGUACGGAGCCCUCGAUGGCUCGACCCUCAGGCGACUAGCCGACCAAGCCCGCAGGCCCUGUGCUCGCGCAGUCGCGCGCUCCCCGCGACAGCCGACCGCCGCAGGGCAGCAGGGGACGUGGAGGUCGGUGGGCAGCAGGUGUCAGGAGCCAGGAAGCCGCCAACUUCGGGUUCAGCUUCCGUGGCUUCCGUGGCUUCGUUCAUGUACAGGAGCAGGGUACUGUAUGCUUUCGUGGCUUCGUUGUUCAUGAGACCAUGACAUGUUUUCUAUUAUGUUAAUGGUUUAAUGUUAUGUUGUGUUUGUGUCACCGUGGUGCUCAUCUACUUGUUUAUGGACUAUACUUUAUUUGCUUGUGUAUUGUGCAUGUACGGUUGAAUCUGUUGCGCUAAGUUGAACGUUUGAAGUGGUUACAUGGGUUGAUGUUCCCGUUUUGAAA